UACAGAGGUCUCAAGCGUUGUUCGGAUUCAUUGGGCGUAAAGGGUGCGCAGGCGGCCAAGUGUGUCAGGUGUGAAAGCUCGAGGCUUAACCUCGAAACUGCGCCUGAAACUAUUUGGCUAGAGUACUGGAGAGGGAAGUGGAAUUCACGGUGUAGCAGUGAAAUGCGUAGAUAUCGUGAGGAACACCAAUGGCGAAGGCAACUUCCUGGACAGUUACUGACGCUCAGGCACGAAAGCGUGGGGAGCAAAAGGG
rnacentral:rRNA from 1 species